GCACUGUCUAACGAGAUGCAUCUCGGAAGUAUAGUAGCUCUAUACCUGGGAUUAGACACCCUCACAUAUGCACACACUAACCCUCACUAGGACCCUAUGGACACAAGGGAAGGAUUCCACUUUAGACUAUUGGGACCCACUCCAUGGCACAUGACACUCCUCAGAGCUGUGACAGUGUGUAUACUAGUAAUCUUCUGUCAGGCUCUCUACUGGGUGAUUAUUACCAGUCCUUACCAUCUGUCACUGAGCAUGCUAAUGCCUGUCUCUACAUAUGCUCUGACAACUGUGAGGACACAUGCUUAAGGGUUAGCGUAUAGUGCAGGAGUCUCCAAAUGCAACGGUCCUGGAGAAAUGCUGGGGGUGCAGGCUUUCGUUCUAGCUCGUCAGUAGCACACCUGACUCAACCACCUGAACCAGACUGAAGACCAAAACAGUAGUUGGUUAUUUGUAUCAGGUGUUUUAGUGCUGAGAUGGAAUUGAAGCCGGCACACAGCUAUUUGGUAUACAGGUAUAACUGCUAUAGGAGGUUAGAUGUGACAACUCUGCUGGUACGUCAGCCUGUAGCGACACUACCUGUAUCCUCAGGUCUUCUCUCUUCCUGCCGAGCCAGAAGUCAGGCAGUAGCGACACUACCUGUAUCCUCUGGUCUUCUCUCUUCCUGCCGAGCCAGAAGUCAGGCAGUAGCGACACUACCUGUAUCCUCGGGUCUUCUCUCUUCCUGCCGAGCCAGAAGUCAGGCAGUAGCGACACUACCUGUAUCCUCGGGUCUUCUCUCUUCCUGCCGAGCCAGAGGUCAGGCAGUAGCGACACUACCUGUAUCCUCGGGUCUUCUCUCUUCCUGCCGAGCCAGAAGUCAGGCAGUAGCGUGUGUACGUGUACCUACAGAGUGGAGAGGACAUAGGAAGACACCACUUACCUUGACAGCAUACAGUGUCCAUUUUAGGACACUCAAAAGGGGUAAUGAUUGGCGGAAGGAGGUGAGGUAUGUCCUAAACUGUAGCAACCAAAGCCGAUGCUGUGAAACUUUUAUUUAUUUGAUUUAAUUAAUUUGUCCCUCAUAAUUCACUGGGCUUAAAAGAGCAGCAAUUAAACCUGAACACACACUCUCUCUCUGUGUCUCUGUGUCUCUGUGUCUCUGUGUCUCUGUGUCUCUGUCUGUCUGUCUGUCUGUCUGUCUGUCUCUCUCUCUUUCUCUCUCUGUCUCUCUGUCUCUCUCUCUCUCUCUCUCUCUCUCUUUCUCUCCUGGCACCCUGGACCCAUCGACCCACAGGUUACCAUGGCAACUGCUCCCCUUCUCUCCAUCUAUCUCCCUCCCUCUCUCUUGGUUUGCUUCUCACAUCGUCUUCCUCUCUCCCUCUCUCUGUUAAUAUUUCACAUACACAUACCUACACACUGAAGAAGGCUGCAAAGCUGAAACGUAUGCUAUCCCUGAUGCAGUGAAAAUAUUUUUUUUUAUAAAAAAAUGAAGUAAGCUUUUUCUUUUUGAGUGCCGACCAUCACACUUUUCUGCUUAUCCUCUGCCUCUUUCUCUCUCUCUCUCUAUUUCUCGCUUACUCCAUCUCUCUCUCUCUCUCUCUCUCUGUCCCUCUCUCUUUCUAUUCUUCCCUCUCUCUCNNNNNNNNNNGUCAGGCAGUAGCGACACUACCUGUAUCCUCGGGUCUUCUCUCUUCCUGCCGAGCCAGAAGUCAGGCAGUAGCGUGUGUACGUGUACCUACAGGUGCGUGAGUGCCAGUGAGGCAUCUUGGGAGUUUGAUGUGUGCGCACGUGUGUGUGUGUGAGUGAGUGAGUGAGUGAGUGAGUGAGUGAGUGAGUGAGUGAGUGAGAGAGAAGGACGUGAUGGUGUGAGGGAAGAGUCCCAUCUAUCCACAGGCCAUACAUGCUGUCAUGAGCAA
rnacentral:lncRNA from 13 species